rnacentral:rRNA from 1 species
GACGAACGCUGGCGGCGUGCUUAACACAUGCAAGUCGAACGGAAAGGCCUGCUUUCCCUUGUGGAUUGCGGGUACUCGAGUGGCGAACGGGUGAGUAACACGUGAGUGAUCUGCCCCCAACUUGGGUAUAAGCCUGGGAAACUGGGUCUAAUUCCCGAUAGGACUGCAGGGUGGUGCCUGUGGUGGAAAACGAUUUUCUAGUGGUUGGGGAUGAGCUCGCGGCCUAUCAGCUUGUUGGUGGGGUAAUGGCCUACCAAGGCGGCGACGGGUAGCCGGCCUGAGAGGGUGGACGGCCACAUUGGGACUGAGAUACGGACCAGACUACUACGGGAGGCAGCAGUGGGGAAUAUUGCACAAAGGGCGGAAGCCUGAUGCAGCGACGCCGCGUGGGGGAUGACGGCCUUCGGGUUGUAAACUCCUUUCGACCGCGAGGAAGCCACCUGGUUGGAAGGGUGGUGACGGUAGUGGUAGAAGAAGCACCGGCUAACUACGU